rnacentral:rRNA from 1 species
GACGAACGCUGGCGGCGUGCUUAACACAUGCAAGUCGAACCGAAAGGCCCAGCUUGCUGGGUACUCGAGUGGCGAACGGGUGAGUAACACGUGGGUGAACUGCCCCUGACUUUGGGAUAAGCCUGGGAAACUGGGUCUAAUACCGGAUAUUCAUUUUUCUUCGCAUGGGGGUUGGUGGAAAGCUUUUGCGGUUGGGGAUGGGCCCGCGGCCUAUCAGCUUGUUGGUGGGGUAAUGGCCUACCAAGGCGACGACGGGUAGCCGACCUGAGAGGGUGACCGGCCACACUGGGACUGAGAUACGGCCCAGACUCCUACGGGAGGCAGCAGUGGGGAAUAUUGCACAAUGGGCGCAAGCCUGAUGCAGCGACGCCGCGUGAGGGAUGACGGCCUUCGGGUUGUAAACCUCUUUCAGCUCCGACGAAGCGCAAGUGACGGUAGGAGCAGAAGAAGCACCGGCCAACUACGUG